GAAAUGCGAUAAGUAAUGUGAAUUGCAGAAUUCAGUGAAUCAUCGAAUCUUUGAACGCACAUUGCGCUCGCCAGUAUUCUGGCGAGCAUGCCUGUUCGAGCGUCAUUUCAACCAUCAAGCUCUGCUUGCGUUGGGGAUCCGCGGCUGCCAGCGGUCCCUCAAAAACAGUGGCGGGCUCGCUAGUCACACCGUGCGUAGUAACUCUACAUCGCUAUGGUCGUGCGGCGGGUUCUUGCCGUAAAACCCCCAAUUUCUAAGGUUGACCUCGGAUCAGGUAGGAAUACCCGCUGAACUUAAGC
rnacentral:misc_RNA from 1 species